UACGUAGGGGGCUAGCGUUGUCCGGAUUUAUUGGGCGUAAAGAGCGUGUAGGCGGUUUGGUAGGUCCGUUGUGAAAACUCGAGGCUCAACCUCGAGACGCCGAUGGAAACCAUCAGACUAGAGUCCGGAAGAGGAGAGUGGAAUUCCUGGUGUAGCGGUGAAAUGCGCAGAUAUCAGGAAGAACACCCGUGGCUAAGGCGGCUCACUGGCCCGAUACUGACGCUGAGGCACGAAAGCGUGGGGAGCAAACAGG
rnacentral:rRNA from 1 species